GUCGCGGUCGAUGUCGACAGCACAUAGCAAGGAGGUCACCUGCGCUGUUAGUCGAGCUAGAACCACUAUCAAGUGAAGUAGUUUAAUGAAAUUUGAAGAAAUUCAAAAAUAAAC